rnacentral:rRNA from 1 species
AGAUUGAACGCUGGCGGCAUGCCUAACACAUGCAAGUCGAACGGGAGUAGCAAUACUCUAGUGGCGGACGGGUGAGGAAUACGUAGGAAUUUGCCCUUAAGUGGGGGAUAACCCGGGGAAACCCGGAUUAAUACCGCAUGACCUCGAAAGAGCAAAGUGGGGGAUCGCAAGACCUCACGCUUUUGGAGAAGCCUACGUCGGGUAUACG